CAGACAGACAGACAGACAGACAGACACACAGGCAGGCAGACAGACAGACAAACACCCAGGCAAACAGACAAACAGACAGACAGACAGACUGGUGAUCCUCAGCAGUACAGUAGCUGUAUGAGUAUUUAAUGUAGCCGUAGCUCACAGUGCACUGUGAUAUCUCUCUUAGCAGUGAUAAAUGUGCCAAUUAUCGAAGCAUUUACUGAUUUAGUCAAUUGCUAUAUGUAUAUUGUGCAUAGUACUUUGUAAAAUAAUAAUAUCAACUGUUAUUAUUAUAACUAUUAUUAUUACAAAACAAUUCAAACUCUCAGUAUUAUGGCACAUAGGUGGCGUAGUUUCACUGUUAAGAAACCAAUCAAAGCUUUUAUUAUUUAGGCAAUUCAGUAAGCUGGAAUACUGCUGUAUAUGGUUGCCUUUGAGUUAGAACUCUGUUCAGAUUGUUGAAGGCCGGUGCAGACUUGCAAACCGGCCUGCACACAGUCUCAUCCACUGCACUCGCAGCCACAGCGCUCUGCUGAGCAAACACAUUCAUCUGAAAGCCCGCCCUUCAGUACUGGCUGCUUGUCUGCCAUCAUUUUAUUUUCGUAACUAUUUUUUUAGAGUCCAAUAAACAAUAUGAAAUGCUCUAUAUGUCGUACCGCAACCUUGUAGGAUUCUUCAAGUCCGUUCUGCCGGAGGAGGAGGAGGUUUUUAGUGUUUUUUCAUGGAAACUGAAGGAGUCUGUGCAAACUGUGUAGCAGGGAAACAGCAACAUGACUGUUUAAGUGUCCCCAUGUGAAAGCUCUCAGCUGGCUGAGUGUGCCUGGUCCAUCUUUGGUUUCAUUGUGCGUCUCUUGAGCAGCAAAGCGUGUCGUGCAGCGCUGUUCACUCCCUCGAUCUGACUUUUCCUCGGAGCCACACGGACGCCACAGUACAGAAAUCAAUAAUUAUCAUUCUGUGAAGGUGAUAGCACUCUUAUGCUUCACUCACCACAAAUGGCAGUUUUAUAUCAAUCAUUUUUUCUGACAUAUUAUGGGAUGGCUGGUUGUAGCUCCCAGCCGUCCUGUGCACAGUAUCUGUGGUGUGUGUGCAAAGCGGAGGCAAGGGGGGGCUGGUAUACUGGAGCAUAUUUUCUGUUGAAAGUGAUAGAAAGACACAGCACUUGUUCUUCUUAGUUAAUAUCAACGGCAGAAGUAAGUCUGUAACUGCUUAAAGACUAUGAGAUGGAUUUUUUUUUUUCAACUUGUGUGCAAUUCACUUUUUUUUUUUUUUGUCUAAGAGCGAUUUCAAUCUUUUGAUUGAUCCUUUUUUGUUAGUGUUGUCUUUUUUCCCCAAAACAUUUUUGUCAUUUCUCCCUCAAUGUUUCAAUGAAGUGCGAGUAUCCACGUGGAUUUGGAAGGACUGGAUCUUCCACACUGAUAAAGAAUGUCAAAGAAAAUAAUUGCAUGUAACAAUGUAUUUCGAGGCUAUUUUCUAACUAUUGUGUAUUCCCAAACUAUAUCAGUGUUACAGUUGACAGUUGUUAAACAUGAAUGGUAGAAUAGUUUUGACUUCUUCAAUUACAGCCAACGGAAGUCAACUAUGUAAUUGUGUCACUCCAGAGGAUAACCAAACCUGUAUCGUUUUCCCGAUCCACAUACAGUAGCUUGCUGGAUCUUUAGUGUACAACAGUAGUUCAAGCUGGGUGUUAUCACAGCUGUGAGGGGAAAGGUAGAGCAGGCAUGACGAAAGAUGUACUCUGUCAUCUGGAAAUUAGAGUGAAAAUGGACAGACAGCUAUGAGUAUAAUGAAUGGAACUCUUUUAUCUUCA